CUCGCGGCUGUUGCGCCGCACCCUCCGUGUGUUGUGAACCCUUCUGUUUCUGGGAUGAGGUCUCCAAAUCUGAGCCAGGCAUUCGGCGCUUCCUUGUUGACAUCUGGUCUGCUCGGAUCAAGGGAAUGUCUUCCAUAACCGGUUUUGGACCAAGAUACUAUGGCAAAAGAAUACAUUAACAUAGGUCAACUUGAAGAUUAAAUGGUACAUGAAGCCCAAAAUGUCAGAAGGCAUACGCAGUAAAUCCAAGAAACGCAAUAGAAUCCAUGAAAGACCAUAUCCAACAGGACGGCCAAAUGACCAAUGCACAAAAGACAAUGAACUGUGCAAAAAAAAACAAACAAAAUAAUAAAUAAGCAUUAAAUAUAAAGAACAUGAGAUGAAGAGUCCUUGAAAGUAAGUCCUUAGGUUGUGGGAACAUUUCGAUGAUAGAGCAAAUGAAGUUGAGUAAAGUUAUCCCCUCGGUUUCAGGAGCCUGAUGGUUGUUCCUGGGCCGGGUGGUGUGAGUCCUGAGGCUCCUGUACCUUAUUCCUGCUUGCAGCAGUGAGAAGAGAGCCUGAUCUGAGUGGUGCGAGUCCUUGAAGAUGGCUCUUGCUUUCCGGCGACAGUGCUCUGUGUAGACGUUCUCAAUGGGUGGGAGGGCUUUACCCAUGAUGGACCGCAGCAUAUCCUCUAUUAUUUGUAAGUUUUUCCAUUCAAGAGCAUUGGUAUUUUCAUACCAAGCCAUGAUGCAUCCAGUCAGUAUAAGGUACUCUCCACCACACAUUUUCAGAAGUUUGUCAAAGUUUUAGAUGUCAUACUGAACCUUUGCAAACUUCUAAACAGAGGUGCUGCCGUGCUUUCUUUGUAACAACACUUGCAUGCUGGACCCAGGAUAGAUCCUCUGAAAUGAGAACAUCUCUGGAUGGAAUUUCUGAAAGUUCCACUCAAGUGGUGCUAAAGUAGGGCAACCAGAAACCUAUAUCUUCUGGAAUUAGCCAUAGAAAUGGAGUGUGCAAUACAUGUUGCCAGUGCACAUGUCCUGGGUCCUCUGUGUGUUACAUAGUAGAAACUGGAAUAAAAGUUAUGAGUCUUCACAACUUAAUGUUUCACUUAUUUGAACUCUAUAUAUCACCAAAAACAUAGCAUCAAGUUGUUUAUAGUCUGGACAAUCUUUUCUCCAGUAACAUUGAAAAAGCAGUGAGAAAUAAACUGAAGAAAAUGUCUGCUCUUGUCCUCAUUUUGCUGGACUGAGGGAGGAAGUGAAUGUGUAUGGUGGUGUUGGGUUGGGUGCCAGCCACUGAGAACAUUAAAAUGGAAAAAAUAUUGCAUG